rnacentral:rRNA from 1 species
AUGGAUCCAGAUGGAGGAGGGUCAGGGAGGCGCGCGGGGGAGGCCGUCGAGGUUUGGGGGCGCCGGAUCCAGAGUUCGAGGUGGCGCCAUGGUUGCUCGGUGAGGAACAUGAGCAGCGGGGAGACUCUGCUAUUCACCGGAGAUAAGAAGAAGAAGAUGAAGACGCAAACCGGUGAGUAUAGAUCAAGCACAGAAAAAACAGAGGGAUUUAUUAAGAAAAAAGAAGAGAAACAAAUCCACCAGCAAACCAUGGAGCAGCUCCAAAGAGGACACCAAGAAUCAGGACAAGCAUGGAGCAGCCGGCUGGAGGUAGUCAGUAGUUAG